UUUAAUCAUUAAAAGCGGGAUUUUUAAUUUAUAAAGAGACUUUCGGUAUUAUUUCUUGGAAAAGUUCCCGAGACUAUCUUAUCCUAAUAUUUCGUUUAUUUUGGUGAUGAAAUAAACUGGGUACAACUAGAUAUAAAUUUGUCUAUCCUAAGUUUACCAGCCGUAAAUAUUUAUCAAGAAGAUCCAGUGAGCGGAGCUCGCUCCGACAAUUUCUUCCGCAAAGGAAAGUCGUGUUUGUUCGCGCUACCUAAUCUGGUGCUCGAAAAGCCUCUCCACA